rnacentral:rRNA from 1 species
CUUGCUCUCGGGUGACGAGUGGCGGACGGGUGAGUAAUGUCUGGGAAACUGCCUGAUGGAGGGGGAUAACUACUGGAAACGGUAGCUAAUACCGCAUAACGUCGCAAGACCAAAGAGGGGGACCUUCGGGCCUCUUGCCAUCAGAUGUGCCCAGAUGGGAUUAGCUAGUAGGUGGGGUAACGGCUCACCUAGGCGACGAUCCCUAGCUGGUCUGAGAGGAUGACCAGCCACACUGGAACUGAGACACGGUCCAGACUCCUACGGGAGGCAGCAGUGGGGAAUAUUGCACAAUGGGCGCAAGCCUGAUGCAGCCAUGCCGCGUGUAUGAAGAAGGCCUUCGGGUUGUAAAGUACUUUCAGCGGGGAGGAAGGUGAUGAGGUUAAUAACCUCGUCAAUUGACGUUACCCGCAGAAGAAGCACCGGCUAACUCCGUGCCAGCAGCCGCGGUAAUACGGAGGGUGCAAGCGUUAAUCGGAAUUACUGGGCGUAAAGCGCACGCA